CCCCACUCUACCCCCCCCACCCUGCAUCUAGCCUCCUUCAAUAAACAACUCUCUGUUUUGUCCCAGCCUGUUACAAUUUGGGGUCAGGGGAUUCUGCCCACAGAUCUUUGGGGGAAAAAAAAGAUCUUUGAAGAUCCUGCACACUUAGACACCAGCAAAGCAGCCACACUACACCCUGGACACCAUCUGUGUAUAAUCCACACUGCAGGAAAUAGCAUCGUAGACAUCGUAAGUAGCAAAGAAUUGGCUACACCGCAACUCCAUCCAUUUUCCAUUCUCUGCAGUAUGAAAACAUCUCCAGGUAGAGGAAGCCUCCACCAUGUUUGUCUCUGCAAUCUGCACAGCAGAUGAGUUCCCAUGCUGCUCGGCAACCCGAGAGUGUAAAAUAAAAUUUACUCCAAUGGUCACAUCAUCCUGGACUGCAUGAACGCAGCCACUGUGCAUGUCUCCAAGCAUGGCGCUCACAGCAGGUAGGACAGAAAUUGUAAGAAAAUCGACACAAUCAACAGAAAAUACAGGGGAAUAGAUUUACAGUGUUCAUCACAGAUCAAGCUGGAUUGGCAGCACAAAACUAUAAUUCCA
rnacentral:lncRNA from 1 species